GCCCCCGUAGUUUAACGGAUAAAACGAUGGAUUCCGGUUCCAUUGAUAGGCGUUCGAUUCGCCUCGGGGGUA
rnacentral:tRNA from 1 species